UACGUAGGGUGCAGGCGCUAAUCGGAAUUACUGGGCGUAAAGCGUGCGUAGGCGGUUCGUUAAGUUCGUCGUGAGAGCCCCGGGCUCAACCUGGGAAUGGCAAUGGAAACUGGCGGGCUGGAGUAUGGCAGAGGGGGGUGGAAUUCCGCGUGUAGCAGUGAAAUGCGUAGAGAUGCGGAGGAACACCGAUGGCGAAGGCAGCCCCCUGGGCCAAUACUGACGCUCAGGCACGAAAGCGUGGGGAGCAAACAGG
rnacentral:rRNA from 1 species